CCCCACACCUUCCUCUCAGGCAGUUGCAAUGAGGUCUCCCCUGAGCCCCUCAAACACAAACACACUCCUUCAUACACCUUAAGUUGUGUACAGCUGAGGCGAAUUCCAGGAGCACACUUCUUUGCCCAAAGAACAAACCUUCCCAAACAGUUCUGGCUAUUCGAGCUCAUCUCUCCUUCUGUAACUAAAGUGAUGGCUGACAGAAGGGGGAAAGAGAGAGACUCAGCGACUGAUUCCUGUAAAGCACCAACACUAAGAGGCAUGUAGGGUCAUUGCAGCUCAGGCUACCAAGGAGUGUACCCAAAACACCCUUUCAGCGCUAGCAAUUCCCAGCUGCUGUCAUAGUCCUUUGCAACCACCGGCUGCUGAUGUGAUUGGGAAUGGGCUGCCCAGCCCACAGCAACAACAGCGGGACUGCAACACUGGGUCGAGGCAGCUGUGCUACACUCUUCUUCAGAGGCACCCAAACUGCUCCAUCUGAAUAAGGAGACCGUGUAUCCUUCUUCAAAGUACUGGGCGUACAAUGCCUGGCACUUCAUUUCAGCAUCCCCUAAGCUGACAGUUCCUGGCUUUGCUGUUCUUUUCACAGCUUCAAGAACUGAUUCACCCUGCUGCUUA
rnacentral:lncRNA from 1 species